rnacentral:rRNA from 1 species
GCGCACCAGUCGAGAAUAGUCUACAAUGGACGAAAGUCUGAUAGUGCGACGCCGUGUGUGCGAUUAAUUCCUUCGGGAUGUAAAGCACUUUUCUAUGAGAUAAAAGCUCUUUAGGUUAAUAGCUUAUUGAGACGGAUAUUAUUAUAGGAAUAAGCUCCGGCUAACUCCGUGCCAGCAGCCGCGGUAAUACGGAAGGAGCGAGCGUUGUCCGGAUUUACUAGGCGUAAAGGGCUAGUAGGCGACUAAUUAAGUUAUACGUUAAAUCCCACGGCUCAACUGUGGUCCUGCAUGUAAUACUGGUUAGAUAGAGUACUGUAGAGGAAGGCAGAAUUCCUGGAGUAGCGGUGGAAUGCGCAGAUAUCAGGAAGAAUACCAAAAGCGAAGGCAGCCUUCUGGGCAGUUACUGACGCUGAAUAGCGAAGGUGUGGGUAGCGAACAGGAUUAA